CCUUCGAUAGCUCAGUUGGUAGAGCGGUGGACUGUAGAAGAACACGUUGUGAAGUUGGCAGUUAUCCAUAGGUCACUGGUUCAAAUCCGGUUCGAAGGA
rnacentral:tRNA from 1 species